UAUGGCAAGUGUACAAAGAGAGUUCUGGAAGGUGACCCCUCAACCUUUCAUAUCUCUUCUGCAUGGAAAAUUACAACCUUUAAUUAUAACUCAAAUCAAUUUAUUUAAUAUAACAUUAUUUUGCUGUAAAAUUCAUGUGACACAAAAUAAAUAUUUACAGACUAAAAACAUCAUGAAAGUUUAAUUAUAUUAUCUCAGGAAAAUAUAACUCCAGAGCACAAUUUAAAAUCCAAAGUUUUCAAAAUAAAGAAUUUUGCAUGAGCUCUAACCUGUAGAACUGACCCUGUGAAGUCUUUUAGUUCAUGAAAAAGAAAAAUAUUUCACUUCCAUUUAGUCAAUAGAUUACUGACAGUAAAUUUGCUAAUGAUACCUUGAGCCCUAAAAUUAGAUUUCUUUAACUGUUAGAUGAACCAAUGGUUUCCAAAUCAUGCUGAAAGCUAGCAGCUACAGCUCCAAAUUGACCCCUGGCCUGGGAACCUCCAUAUUCUGUGGGUGAGGCCCUAAAAAGGAAAAAAAAAAAAAAACAAGAAAUAAAAUAAAUAAAUAGAUAAAUAAAUAACUCUAAAUGCAUAAAAACAGAAAGUAGAUUUGUGAUUGCUGGGGGCAGGGGUAGAGUGGGGAAAAAAUGGUUGAAAGUGAUCAAAGUGUUCAAACUUCUAGUCAUAAGAGGAAUAAGUUCUGGGGAUGUAAUGCAUAUCAUGAUGAAUAUAGUUAACUAUACUCUAUUGUAUACUUGAAAAUUGUUAACCAUAGAUCUUAAAAGUUCUCAUCAAACUCACAAAAUAAUGAUAGCUAUGUGAGGUGAUGGGUGUGUUAUAUAACCUUAUUGUGGUAGAAAUUUCACAUACAUAUAUAUAUAUCAAACUAUCACAUUGUAUACAUUAAACUUACACCAUAUGUCAAUUACAUCUCAAUAAAUAAAAUUAAAUAACGAAUGCUUAUAAAAAUUACUACUCUCAAGAAAUUUUUAAAACAGAAAGAUUUAUGUCAGAAAUUAUGUUCUUAAUCAAAUUAAUCAUGAUCUUUAAUGAAAAUAUAAGUAAAAUAUGGUAGAUCAAAAAGAGGUAAGGAUUCAGAACACUGACAAUUUCAGAAUUCAUUACUGAACUUAUUAGGGUUUAAGUAUGUAUACAUGAGUGUGUGUAUGUAUGAGUUAGUUAGGAAUUGAGAGCAGAAAAGGGAAUUUUGAAAUAGGAAAACAGAGAGAAAAAUAUUUCUUUACUUACUGGGUCAGUGAGUCUUUCUUGGGCCACAUUCUGUUAUUCUCUUAGUCCUUCUUAUCCAGGCAAUAAGGUAGGGCCAAUUAGAUAAUGAACUGUUUCAAAAUAUCUGUAUAGCAAAAAAUAUAUAUAUAUAUAUAGUGGUCAUCUGUUGCUACUCAGGAUCCAUUUCUUUUCUGAGAUCAGAACCAUUAGUUUUCUGGAAAACACUUGACCCAACCCUGAGUCCAAGCUUGUGUUUUGAAUGGGAGAUGACAUGUUAGUACUUUCUAGAUGUAUGAGAAAUAUAACUCUGGAAUGGCUCAUUACUGUGUUCCCGAACUUUAGAAUGUCAGUUUGCACCAAAGAAGAUAAGACCAACAUAAAGAGGAAAGCAAAGAUGAUGAUGGACCAGCUGUCCUGGGGAUUAGUUCUGCACUUUCUUGUAUUGGGUUAUAUAAGGUAUCCUAGUACCUUUCAAAUAACUUUCUUGCUGUAUUUUAAGCUUAUUCAAACAGGUUUCUUAUACUCUAAAGCAACAGCUCUGGUGGAUACAGUGUAAUAGUAGAAUGCAUGUUUUCAAUGGUCAGACAAACUUCACUGAAGCAAUAUAUAAUGGUCAGUAGAUGACUGUUGUGGUCCACUUAGACAGGAGUGAUAGUCUAAACUAUGUGGUCAGAGAGAUGAACACCAAGUAAGUAGAUUUAUUGCUUUAAUAGGAAGAAAGCCAGAAUGGACUCUUUUAGGGACAAUAUUUUUCAAUAUGUAGCCCCUAGACACCUGCAUCCUAUUCACUUAGAGUGAUUGCUAAAGUCAACAUUCUUGGGCCCCAGCCUAGACCCAGGUCAUCAGAAUCUCUGGGGAGUGAAAGGAACUUUCUUAAACUAGCAUUCCAGAUGAUUCUAAUGUGGGUUAGAGGUUGAGAACCACUGCCUUGGAGGAAUGGUUGCCAUUACUAGGAUGCUAAUAUAAUGCAGUGUUUAGAGGUAAUACAUGCACAGUAAGGAUCCAAUUGUGCAGAGUGCAGAAAAAAACAUAGGAGAAAAAUCCAGACAGUGCUUUCCUAUGGUCAUUAUGUUAUAAUGACUAGAAAUGGAGAAAGAGCAGAUGAAAGCAUGGGACCUAAGAACUACAUAUCAGUAAUAAAGUAGAUUAAAAGUUUAAUAUAUACAUUAUAUAUAUAAAGAGAAAACACUGACUUGGUGUUCUUAUAUAGGAAAACAAAGACAAUCAAAUAUGAUUUCUGCAUUCCUUUGUUGCUGCUAUAUGAAUGUUUAUCCACUGCAAAUAGCCAACAUAUGCAUGAAAAAUUAAAAAUCCAUUCAAAGCAAUGAAUUAAUGGCCUAAUGUAAAACAACUAUCCCAAACUAUCUGUUCAAUUUCCCCUCAACUGUAUCAAACAAAUUUGCUACUGAAAUGGUGGUUUCAACUUCCAUUAAGACUGCCCAUCUGAUUUAAGUAAAUUUUUUCACCUUGAAAAUGAACUCAUAAUUUUAUGGCUUGUACUGUGUUGAAAGAUCUUAAAUCAGAGACCUUAAUCCAACCAAUUUUCACACACACACACACACACACACACACACACACAAAUGCCCCAAGUACAUUUCAAACUAGAUGAAUAAAAUAUCAAAUGAAGAAUCAUCAUGCAUAUGACCAUUUGCUCAAAUGAGUUCAUUUUUUUGUAUCUAGCCAGCAAGAAUCUAUUUCUACAAGAAAUGCAGGAGUUAAUGCCUCUGAGAAGAACAGCCACAAUCUAACCAUCUUGUCAAAUCCAUUCCCUGGAACCUCAGGGGUAGAGCCUUCCUACCAGCUUCAGGGAGGCCGCAUCAGCCUUUCCUUCCAUUCCUCAAUCUUCCAUUGUCAGACCGUGUUGGUAAUUGGUUUUUAAUUGGUUCAUUUACCCGAAUGAUUUAUACUGCCUCAGGUAGACAAGAUUUAAUGACACCCAUUACAGGGCUUUAGAUUAUUUCACAAAUAGAUAUGCUGUUGUCCUUCAAGAUUGAAGAUCCAUGCAUAUGAGUGUUAUCAUUCAUACAUCUCUGAUGUAGAAAAGUCCAGCGAGGCUAACAAGGAUAAAAAUCAGAGUUUAUCAACUGUGGACUAUGGACAAGGCAUUUUGCUAAGUUCUUUAUACACAUUAUCUGAUUUAACAGGCAUUUCCAUGAGAAGAGAAAUAAACAGAAAAAAGUGUCCAAAGAGUUGCAUUUGUUUCUGAACAGAAACUGCUUACAACUGUUUCUCCUUAACUUUCUGGAUGAUCACUUCCUUUGCUCAAAUUAGUGGCCCCACUUUGAGCAGUAAAUAAUGUACUCAGAAAAUCACUGAAGAAGUUAGAUAAGACAUCUAGCUUAAUUCUGGGUUCUGAUAAUAAUUGUGGGACUUUAAUCCAAUUAUUUAACAUUUGGGUUUAGACUGGCUCUCCGGAAUGCACUCUCAGUAGUCCUUAGAUAAUGUGGUUCACUGCAUAUGCCUAUUUCUCAUUUUGAUUGAUUAGCUACUUGAGGUACUGUCAAAUCUUCCUACAGUGUAACCUAUGCUUGUACUUCAGUGUUCUCUUAAAAUAUAAUUUCUGCCUAAUAAGAAAACCGUUUAAUGUCUAAAAAAGUUAUAAUUACUUUUCAUAUAUGUAUCAUCACAUAGGUGAAUUGAUAUGCAUUGGUAUUUAGAGAUUCUAAUGUUGUUUAUAUAAAACAAGAAAUUCAAGUGGACUCUUCUGAAUGAUAAAUUUGGAUAAAUUUAGAGAGGCACAUUUUAGGAUUGGGACUUUGUUCAAUUAUAGAUUUGCACAGAAAUCAUACAAAUAAUUUGGCAGGGCAUAACGUGUCUGGCUUUUACAAGAAAUAAUCUUUGGCAAACCUAGAUAUUUUGACAAGAAUAUUUUUUCUUACUUGGUUUAAAAAAAUGUUUAGUAUUUACUUUGUACUCAGAAUCAUUGACAGACUUUUGCUGAAUAUCCACUCCUUCAACACGCACAAUUUCUGAAAAUAAUGUUGCAUUUUUCUAAUUGUUUCUCACAGUAUCCCAAGUUUAGGGAAGCAGAUUUACAAGAUUUACUUCAAUUGUUAGAAAACUGUGGAUUAGUGCAAACGUAUUUAAAUGUGAUCAGACCUUCAUGUGUGCUCAUAUGUGCAUGCCUUGAUUCUUCAAAUAAAUUCAGUUCAGUUGUAUAUAACUGGAAAAAAACUUAAAAUGGAGCAGGCUGCUUACCUCAGAAUUUAUCUGUUCUAAGGAGGAGAAAAAUAGUCUUUUAAAGUGUCAGUUGUGGAGUUCCUAUUGUGGCUCAGCCAGUUAAGAACCCAAUUAGUAUCCAUGAGGAUGCAGAUUUGAGAUCCCUGGCUCAGUGGGUUAAGGAUCCGGCAUUGCCACAAGCUGUGGCAUAAGUUACAGAUGCGGCUAGGAUCUGGCGUUGCUGUGGCUGUAGUGUAGGCUGGCAGCUGUAGAUCUGAUUCAACACCUAACCUGGGAACUUCCAUAUGUCGCAGGUGUGACC
rnacentral:lncRNA from 1 species